AUCAAAACUCUUUUUUCUUACUUCAUUAACUUUAUUUUUCUUUUCAUUUUUUUUUAUUUCAUUUCCUUCUUCAUUUUCUCCAUUCUUUUCUUUUUUCAUACUCUAAUCGUUACCAUAACAGUGCCGUCCAUGGCUUUCUCCAGCUGAUCCUACCACCAAAACACUUCCCUCUUUCUCCUUGUCUCAAAUCUUGUCUUGUGUUUCCUAGAAAAUCUCUUCAAAGGCUAAAAAUAAAAAAUUGAUCUUUGGGUUUUCAAAACUUCGAUCUUCACCACAGGCUAGGGAGUUUGCUUGUGAGGCUAAGAGCGGGCUGAGGGACCAAAGGAUGCAUGUCACAGAAACAAUAUACCCUCUCGGUCUUGUGCUUGCAAUUUUCUAGUCCAUACUGAAACGGUGCCAGGGGCUGGGAAUAAUUUCCCAUGUGGUCCUCGUCGUUUUUCAGCGCAUUUUAGUUGGCCCCUUCUUCCUUUUUAUUUGUAAUUUUUGCCCUUAAAUUCUAUUCAAGUUCCGAUUUAGUCCUUUUUAGGUUUAUUCAUCUAUUUCAUCAUAAUUUAGACUCUAAAUUGUAUUUUAAUCUCAAUUUAAUCCUUUAAUCGUUUA